rnacentral:rRNA from 1 species
UACAGAGGUCUCAAGCGUUAAUCGGAAUUACUGGGCUUAAAGGGUGCGUAGGCGGCGCUGUAAGUGCUUUGUGAAAUCCCAUGGCUUAACCAUGGAAUUGCUCGGCAGACUGCAGUGCUUGAGGUUGGUAGGGGUCGCUGGAACUCUAGGUGGAGCGGUGAAAUGCGUAGAUAUCUGGAGGAACACCGGUGGCGAAGGCGGCAUCCUGGACCGGUAUUGACACUGAGGCGCGAAAGCCAGGGGAGCAAACGGG